AUUGAACGCUGGCGGCGUGCCUAACACAUGCAAGUCGAGCGGUAACAGGUGUAGCAAUACAUGCUGACGAGCGGCGAACGGGUGAGUAAUGCUUCGGAAUCUACCCAAUGGUGGGGAAUAACCAGCCGAAAGGUUGGCUAAUACCGCAUACGUCCCACGGGAGAAAGCAGGGGAUCGCAAGACCUUGCGCCAAUGGAUGAGCCGAAGUCGGAUUAGCUAGUUGGAGGGUAACGGCCUACCAAGGCGACGAUCCGUAGCUGGUCUGAGAGGACGACCAGCCACACUGGGACUGAGACACGGCCCAGACUCCUACGGGAGCAGCAGUGGGGAAUAUUGGACAAGUGGGGGAAACCCUGAUCCAGCGACGCCGCGUGUGUGAAGAAGGCCU
rnacentral:rRNA from 1 species